rnacentral:rRNA from 1 species
UCGAGAAUCUUUCGCAAUGGGCGAAAGCCUGACGAAGCGACGCUGUGUGAACGAUGAAGGCCUUCGGGUUGUAAAGUUCUUUCGCUAAGGAACAAGGGAUAGGAGCUAAUAAUUCUUAAACUUGAGGGUACUUGGUAAAGAAGGACCGGCUAACUCCGUGCCAGCAGCUGCGGUAAUACGGAGGGUCCAAGCAUUAAUCGGAUUUACUGGGCGUAAAGGGCGCGUAGGCGGAUAGAUAAGUCAGAUGUGAAAUUUCGGUGCUCAACAUCGAAGCUGCAUUUGAAACUGUAGAUCUAGAGGAUGGAAGGAGAAAACGGAAUUCCACGUGUAGCGGUGAAAUGCGUAGAUAUGUGGAAGAACACCUGUGGCGAAAGCGGUUUUCUAUUUUAUUCCUGACGCU